rnacentral:rRNA from 1 species
ACGGGGGGUGCAAGCGUUGUUCGGAAUUAUUGGGCGUAAAGAGCGUGUAGGCGGUUUGUUAAGUCUGAUGUGAAAGCCCUGGGCUCAACCCAGGAAGUGCAUUGGAAACUGGCGGACUUGAAUACGGGAGAGGGCAGUGGAAUUCCUAGUGUAGGAGUGAAAUCCGUAGAUAUUAGGAGGAACACCGGUGGCGAAGGCGGCUGCCUGGACCGAUAUUGACGCUGAGACGCGAAAGCGUGGGUAGCAAACAGGAUUAGAUACCCUGGUAGUCCACGCCGUAAACGAUGAGAACUAGGUGUUGCGGGUAUUGACCCCUGCAGUGCCGCAGCUAACGCAUUAAGUUCUCCGCCUGGGAAGUACGGUCGCAAGACUA